UUAAAUUGAAGAGUUUGAUCAUGGCUCAGAUUGAACGCUGGCGGCAGGCCUAACACAUGCAAGUCGAACGGUAACAGGAAGAAGCUUGCUUCUUUGCUGACGAGUGGCGGACGGGUGAGUAAUGUCUGGGAAACUGCCUGAUGGA
rnacentral:rRNA from 2 species